UACGUAGGGGGCAAGCGUUGUCCGGAAUCAUUGGGCGUAAAGAGCGCGUAGGCGGUCCGGUAAGUCCGCUCUGAAAGUCCGGGGCUCAACCCCGGGAGGCGGGCGGAUACUGUCGGGCUAGAGUCCGGAAGAGGCGAGUGGAAUUCCUGGUGUAGCGGUGAAAUGCGCAGAUAUCAGGAGGAACACCAAUGGCGAAGGCAGCUCGCUGGGACGGUACUGACGCUGAGGCGCGAAAGCGUGGGGAGCAAACAGGG
rnacentral:rRNA from 1 species